GUAGUGUUUGUUCAGACCUCACUGAUCCAACAUGUUCUAAAAUAAAUGCACCCGCCUGUCCAGACGCAAACAUGUGCUUUGUAUCAACAACACAAAUUACUCAGGGUGGAACUACUACUACCAGAAUAAUAAAGAAAUGUGCAGACUCCUCGCUGUGUCCAGUUGCAGACACACAGACAUACUCCUUAAACACUGGAUUUGGUCAAGUGUUUGCACAAGCCACCUGUUGUAACAAAACAAACUGCAACAAAAAUACCCCACCACUGCCAUCGCCCCCUGGACCUGAUUCCCUGGGAUGCCCAACCUGUGAUCCUCUGACAGGCAGAUGUGAUGCUUCUGUACGAUGUAAUGUACUGGAGACCAGCUGCUUCAUAACAACAGCAACAACACCUUCAUCGACCAUCGUCCAGGGCUGUGCUUCACCAAACACGUGCUCCAACUCUGUUCUGAACACACUUCUACCUGAACUGUCCCCGAUCGAAACUGUGACUGGACCAAGCUCCUGCUGUACAAGUGAUGUUUAACUUCUUGUUUGUAACAGACUAAUCACUGCCCUGACAAAUCUGUAAAUAAACUGU